CAGACGCCAGCCGGCACAAUGACUUCCAGCUGGAGCAGCCAAGCCUGCCUGAGCGCUCUCUCGCUCGCGCUGAGUUUAAGAUCUCGGGGCUGCAUUUUUGGAUGUAAGUCCACAACUGAGAACUAAGCGAAACCCACCCAUGGAUAGCAUAAAUCUGCAUUGUUGAAGCUGCUCAUCUGCAGGAUCAAUGAGCCCAGAUGAUGCAAACUCCCAGCUCUUGCAAAAAUACCUCCAAUAAAAACAAGCACUUUGGCCCCCUUU